AUCCAACCGAUGAGUCCCAAAUGGGACGAAACGCGCGUCCUGUAU
rnacentral:hammerhead_ribozyme from 1 species